CCCGCGCCAGGCCCUUGCCCGCUGCCUUCCGCGGACUUCAAGGCUGGAGGCAACCUGACGCUGUCUGUGCCGCUUUUCCCGGUAGAGGAAAACUCCACAAGACAGGGGAGCCCUGUCAGCUUGGAUCAGAGGUGUUGCCAGGAGCUGAAGGAUAUCGUGCGUAACAACGUCUGGCGCAUAUGAUCCCGUGCUUCGGAGUGGAGUGAUUAGAAAAUAAUUUUAAAAGCUUAUUCUAAGGAGAUCUGUUAAAAGUGAUGACCGAAGACUGAGCAUACCAUCCCUUCCCCACAUUCCAUUCUGCAUGGAUACUCCACUGGGCUGACCCCGUAGCGGUGUACCAAGAGCCCUCAAGGAGCCACCAGAAAGCCCAGGACUGGGCGCAGCUCUGUGAAUGACCGGCCGACCUGGAGCGCCAAGAUGGAACAUUGCAAGCCAUGAGUGAAGCUCUUGGAACACGCUGGGGACCUGAUCUCUUCAUUCAGGGUGUGGGGGACAUGUGAGCUCCUCAGAUGCAACAGAGUUUUGGGCAAAGCUCCGGACAGAUGGAUGUCUUGCAUGUAGGACAACAUCUUUAUGAAGAGCAGGGGGUGUGUGUCUACAUGUAAGGGCACUUUGACUGAGCCUGGUGGGACAUGUCCUGAGAACCCGUUUGGCAUCCAUGUGGAUCCUGGCUGUGAAGAUGCUGCAGGCACAUCACAUCGGACUCUGGGUCUCUCUUCCUGGGCUUGACAGAUGCACCUCUUAGAGCUGAGAGCUGGACCUGCCUCCAGGAGCCCGGCUUCCCUGCCGGGCUGUGCCGCCACUGCCGUUCACAUGGCUUCUUUACAGGAGCAGCUCCUUUGUCUCAGGGAAGGAGGGCUUUCCUGAAUCCCCCAGCUUUGCCCAGCCCCUAUCUGAGUGUACCGGGAUUGGGAUGAAACCACAGUGAGGGAGAGGGGUGGGGAGGUAGAGCAGCUCCGUUUGCUCCCGGGGCUGGGUAGGCUCUGCUUGAUUAGCAUGAGAAUAGAGAGACUUUCCUGCAUCCUCCCUCAGGGAUGGAGAGGAAGGAGCAAAGGCUCUAGCUCCAUCAUACCCCAUCAGAGCUCCUGGGACUGAAAAUGACUACCACCCUAUUCCUCCAAUCCCCGAGGACCCAGAACCCACAGUGUUGAGAAAAGCUUUGACGGAGCCGGCGGGUGGAUCUCCACUCCAGAUUUUCCAGCUGUCCCUGCCCCCCCACCGCUCGGAGCAGGAUGCCGAGAUGGCUGGUGAUGCAGAAGAAGGAUCACUGGCAUACAGGGACCGAGGUGCCAGACCACGGGUUCUGGGACCACGGUGAUUCCCUCCUUCUCCUCUGAGAACACAAAAAGGCAGACGGACCCACAUGCCCAUGAGGAAAUGUCCAGCUGUCCUCUAAGAUGUGUCUAUUACAGACACUGAACGCUGGAUCCCAGGAAAACGCCCAGUGAGGGUUGUGGCUGGAGGCUGAGGGGCUCCCCCCACCUGCGUGCAGUAGAGUGAAUGUGUGUGAUCCCCACACACGGGAUGGGAGCUGCCAGGGCCCGGUGCCCUCACCCUUGCCCCACGGUCUCGCCUUGCCUUCCAGACACGCUCAGACUCUUGUUCCCAAAGCCUUCAUUGGAGAAGGCCUCCUUCCUGUGGAGGAAGGGCCACGGGCUUGGUCUCAGCCACCUGCUCAGACAUCAGGAAGAGACUGAAGGGAGAGCUGUCUUGUCCUGUCACCGCCGAGGCCUCUGUUCUGUGGGCCGGUCACUGCACAGCUGUGUCCCAUGACUCAGCAAGGUCAUGGCCACCCCAGGAUGACACCCACCGCGGGGUCUGGAAAUUCUCCCUUCUUCACAGCUUCUGUGAUAGACUUCCCUUCCUCCUCGGCCGUGGGGCUCUCCAGCAGUUGUCUGACUAUUUGGAGAUCUCUUUGAGGGCUUGGGGGUCUGUGCUGAGGAGCUCAAGAGACUGAAGUUUCUACCGUGUGUGCAGAAGGCGCGCAGACAUGCGAGGCUCCAGGUGAUUCUUCGCUAGCUUUACAUGCACGGCCCAGCCAGCAACCACUCAGCUAACCUGGGGGGCCGGGUGACGGUGGCACAUUGACCUGUUCCUCUUCACAACAUUCCUGCAAGGUGGACGCGACAUCUUUCUUUUCUGAUAAGACUCAGAGAGGCUCAGCCAUACGCCCGAAGGCAAGUGCUGGUGCCUGGAGGAUGGGAAGGUAACGCCACAUUACACUCCAAACACCGCGUCCCCCCAGGCUUCUGCCUGCAGUGGUAGGAUUUCCUGUUUGGCCUCACGCCUGCCAGGGUUUGGAUCGGUCAGACCUGCACGUGCUUCCCUACGGAUCGUGAAGCUCGAUCUCACCGCGGUUGCUGCGUUCAUUUCCUGGAUGCCCUGUGAGGAGGGUAAUCUGUUGUAAAGAUUAAAUCCAGUUUUCCCCCCUGCAUCACACAUGCCUGGCUACAUCCCUCCUCCAGCCCUCAGGAACUUCAGAUGCCUUUGAAUAUUCGGAGAGCCAGGGAGGAGAGCUGAAGGAAGCUGCUAAGCCUUGGGAAUUGUGCGCGCUGCCACCAAUCCUUUUUCUAUUUGUAAAUGUCACAGAGGGGUGUGUGUGUGUGUGUUUGUGUGAGCAUCUCUGUAAUAUUUUUUAUGUAUGCAGAAACAGAUUGGUAUUUGGUUAAGAUUUUAGGAUCUGGAGAAAAACUUCCUGGAAUCAAAUUCUGACUCGUCUACUAUGUCCUUGUGACCUUGGGCAGGUAACCUACCCUCUUCACCCUUUGUUUCUCUAGCUGAAUGAUGGACACCAGAAUUGUUCCCAUCCGCAGGGCUGUGGUUGGGCCUGGAGAAUCCCCAAAAAGUCGUGAGGAUGCCCCUUCUCCCUCUCAGCUUCCCCACAUGGGCUGUCUGUGUCCCCAGGCCCCAUGUGCUCCCCUCCCCCAGAAGAGAACCUCGGCCUGUUCCCAUCUGAUGCUGUGGGGCUGGCGAGUGGCUAAUCUGUGUAAUGGUGGGGCAUGUUCGUGGAGUUUAAUUUCUGCCUAGUUAGGAUGGAAACUACUAUGUGCCGUCCAACGCUUGCAGCAUAUAUAUGCACGGAAUGUAGGUCAUCUCGUGUAUGGCAGGUAGUGACUUCCUAUUUUCAGAUAACGCCACAUAGUACAUGGGUCCCUGUGUCAUGUUCCUCUUCAAUGACCGUUUGGUGGCUGGACUCUUAGUUCUGUAGGUCGUGUUUUCAGUUUUUACUGUUCAGCUUGGGUUAGGAUGAAUAGUCACUUACGUUAAGCCUGAGAUCACUCACAUGCUUUCUAAGUUACGUGCUGGCAAGGACGUCACUGCGUUAUGACCGCUUGCUCUGUCUUUUCCAGAAUCUUUAAUUCACCGUAAGACACGGGCAAAUCUAAGGACUUCACGUCGGUCAUGUCCUUCCUUCGUUUGUGAGCAGAAACAAGGCUCACUUGAGAGGGUGUGUGUCUUUGGACAAAACACACACCCUCUUUGCCUCCUCUGUCCCCGUUACCUUGCAAAACUUCAAGGACACCAUUCCCCUCCUGUUCUAUGUGUCCCAUGUGCCCUUGAAGCCCCCUUCGUGACAGAACGUCUUUGUAGAUGAGAUGGGUUUAGAUGUCCACCCCUUUACGAUGGGUUUUCCAAUGGAAAGGGACAAAGACACUUCUUUUGGCUUGGAAAUUGCAGGCAUUUUGAU